CGAGAUCGAGCACUGUUUCUUGUC
rnacentral:siRNA from 1 species